ACUGGUCAUGAUAAUGAAAACCACAAGCAAAGCCUCUCUUAGGCAAGCUCUCUGAGAACUCCUCUUAGCAAACACAAUAGGCUGCUAAUGUGACAGACUCCGUGGAUUGUCUCAUUGAGGGAGCUCGUUUUUCUGCUUGUAUCAAAAUACUGGAGAGCUUUGGGAAGUCCAGGAUGGAAAGGCAGAUGUGAAGUCACUCAUGGCGAAGUUUAACGUGGGUAACAGCCCUUCAGAGGAUGUUUCUGGUAACAUUCGACUCUCUAAAGUCACAGGACAACCAACCCAUUCAGGAUUACAAACAAGGAAAGCAGUAUUUGAGAAAUUUGCAAGUCAAGGAAAUGCAGCUUCUCCUUCAGGACCCAGUGUUUCUCAAAAACCUGCUCAUCCUAAGCCUCCUCUGGCAGUCAAGCCUUCAACUGAAGAUAAGACGGAGAAGGAUCCAAAGCCCCCAUAUUUGAAACCAGUUGGGCAAAGGUUUGGGGUUCACCUUCAGGCAACUAAUAGGGAAAGUGAUGGAAAAGCUGGAUACACUAAAACCCCUACUAAAAGCAGUGACUUGGCAAAAGAAGAGCUGAAGUCUCUGUAUCCAAAAUCUGCAGGGAACAAGCUUCUUAAUUCAGCUCCUCAAGAGAAGGAAAAAAGGCCUCUGGGAACAAAGCUAAAUUUUAAUUCUGAAGCACAAGAGAGUGAAGAAAAAGCAUCAUUUUCAAAAGUAGCUGGAGUUAAGGAAAAGUUCAUGUCUGCAACACAAGAAAAUGAUCCUAAGCCUUCUUUCUCCAAACCAGCUCUUGCACAGAAGCCUGCUGUAAACCUUACAGUUUCCCACAAUGAAGACACCUCAAGUAAAAAUGCUUUCCCACAUAAAGGUCUAGGAGGCCCUAGACCAAAUAUGCACUCAUUUAAAGCAACAAAGGAAAUGGAUGAAAAUAGUAAGUGCGCUGCAGAAACUGUAGGCAGUCAUUUUUCUAACAUGGCUCUGAAAACUACUGGCCACUGGUCCAGCGCAUCUCAAGGCACUCCCAAAAAUGCAGAGGAAAAGACUGAAGAAAAGGGAGUGAGUGCCUCCAGGAAUAUCUUUCUGAACAAAAUCAUCCAGGAAGAAUCUGGUUUAUCUCCUCCCAAGUUCCAUAAAACAAACACAGCGUUUGCUGCAGGAAAGUCGUUGGGUGGGUCAGAAGAGAAGGAUGACUGGGAUAGGAGCUCAGGAGCCCCGAAACGGAAGUCUUUGCCCCCGCUGUUCAAGCUGGGCCAGCCACCACAGAAGCCCAGCCGACCACCCAGCGUGGACCUGGAAAGGUUCCAGAAGAGCAUCCCAAGAGACAGACCUAAGAAUGAAGGGUUUAAACAAAUGGCCCCUUCCCCACCAGCAGCCUCCCCACCUGCACCACCUCCUCCACCAGCCUCUCACCCAUCCCUGCACACCCCUGCAGCUCCCAGCCUGCCGCCCAGAAAUGUCAAGCCCAGCUCUGAAACAAUAAAUCCAGCCAUUGAAGAAAAUUAUGAUGACGUUGAAUUUCUUUUACAGGGUAGGAUGGGUCCUGGAAAUAAAGAUGGGGACCAAGGAAGUGAUGGCGAGAUGUACGAGGACAUAAAUGACAUCAGAACAUCAAAGGAAAAAGAAAAGAGGUCGGAAAAGGAAGAAAAGAAAAGACUGGAUCAAGAAAAGAAAGAACAAAAGGAAAAAGAAAAGAAAGAGCAGGAAAUAAGGAAGAAGUUCAAAUUAACAGGACCCAUCCAAGUCCUUCAUCAGGCACGGGCUUGUGUUGACAGCAAGGGAGGAAAGAAUGAACUGACUGUCAAGCAGGGGGAUCAAAUUGAAAUCAUUCGUCUAACAGACAACCCAGAAGGAAAGUGGCUGGGCAGGAUAAAAGGAUGUUAUGGAUACAUUAAAACAACUGUAGUGGAAAUUGAUUAUGAUUCUUUAAAAACAAAGCAACAAGCUGUUGUGAAACAACCAGAGAUUGACCAAGAAGUAUAUGAUGAUGUUGGAGAGCAGGACAGUAUUAGCAGUCAGAAUGGUGGUCGAAAUGGAGCUGGAAAGAUGUUCCCACCUCCUCCUUCCGAUCAAGAAAUUUACGAUGGCGUUGAUGACACAGAUGCUGUUUCUAGGUCCGUAUCACAGGAUGAAGAUAAGAAUGAUAUCUGGUCCUGGGGAAUCUUGAAGAAACUAAAGGUCAAAGAUGUCAAAAAGAAAAGUGUACGAGAAAAAACAGCCAAAGUCAAUGGGGCAGAAGAUAAUGGAGAUUUGUUCAGGUCUCCUUCAACAAAGCAGUUUGGAAAAGAUUGUGGAGACAAUGAUGUUUAUGAUGAUGUAGAUUCCUCAGACUUCCCUCCUCCACCGCCUGAAUUCAAUUUACCAAAAUCUAUGAGCCUUGGAAAAGGCAAAUCAGAUGAAAAGUAUCCACAAAAGCUUAAAAUGAUGGAAAGAGAAGAGAAAGAGUUCAGAAAAAAGUUCAAGUUUGAAGGUGAAAUCAAAGUUCUUUACUCAACGACCACUGUCCAGGAUUUGCCCCAGAAAAAGUGGGGAUCUAAAGACUUGCAGAUUAAACCAGGAGAGCUUCUUGAAGUUAUACAGAGUACAGAUGACACCAAGGUGCUGUGCAGGAAUGAAGAAGGAAAAUGUAAGUUUUAAUUACCAGCUGUAGUACAGAAUGCAUGUGCUAUAAAUUAAACGAUCUGAGAAUAGGUAACUUCAGACAGGACAUGAAAAAAAUACAGAUUUCCUGUCAUACUAGAGCAGAGCAUGUUUGUUUUUGUCUGGUGGUUGACAAGAAGUAUACUGUGGUUAUCUCAUUAUUUUUACUACUUACAGUCGGUCCUUGAGAGUGUUAAGUGUAUCUGACCCUAGAAAACAGAACUUCAAUAGUCAAGAGAUAAAAUUGUGAGAGAGAACACUUUGCAUCAGCUAAGACAAGCAGAUGUUUUUACUACUUCCAUCUCCCUCCAUUUUCUUAAAAGAUUACUGCACCGAUACCCCCUAAACCAGGUAAAAUAGUAAAAUCCUUGGAACUGUUGUCCAUUGAUUUCAGCCAAGGGAAGAUUAAUGAGGGUAUUCUUGCUCUGGAUUCUCGGAGCUGGAAUUUAAUCUCUUCAGCAGGCAGGGAGGAAAAACUGCUGAGGAGUCUUCCCCUGCUGGGCCCCAACUGAUCCAAGGCAUAUGUCCUUGUUGGCAUCCCUGCCUGUUUUGGGAACUGCACAAGGCCUUUCAGUGUUUCUCUGAAACCCUUGGAGAGAGUAUGCAUUGGCAGAAGCUUUUGCAUUUUUUUGGAGAAAUCUGGACCAUCUACUCUUGGUUUCAAUUUCUUCAUGCACUUAUGUUACAAUGCUUUUCAAUUCUCCUCCUAAUAAUUUCACAGAAUACACUAUGUUCAAAGUGGCAGUAUCCUUCCUCUUACCUUUACCUUUUAUCAUUAACCUAUGUAGAUGACAGUCCAAUGCCUUAUGUUUCUGAAGAAGAUUCGGUCACUUUCUAUUUCUUUCCCCUCAGUACUCCUCUGUUACAAUCUGGAGUAUAGCCUUCUUCCUGGCAGGCCAAUAGGAAGAAUUUCUUGCAUAACAACACAUAUGUUUUUCAAAAUAUGGAUCGCUUUAGUGCAGCUACUUCCCAAAGUGGGGCUGUCAAUGCCACAUUUUUUGAAGCAAGAUAAUAGCAAAGUGGAAAUUAGUUCAUGCUGUCUGUUUUCCUCGUGUAAUCUUCAAAGCUUUUCAGAAAGUGAUAGUAGAUACUGCUUUGCUAUGCAUAAAGGAGCAAAACAAACAAAAAUAUCCUCUGUGAAAGCUUCUGUGAAGAUUUCUGUCAAUUUUCACAUUAAUUAGUAAAAUGUGAGUCCCACUUUAUGGAGUUGUGGUUAUUUGCUCUAGUUGGAGUAUCCUCAUAUAUUAAGAGUAGAGUUUUACCUUUUGAAGCCCACACUGACUGAAAAUUAACAUUUGGUUUUGUUACUUCUUCUGCUUGGUCUUUAACAUACAGAGCCCCUCCACAGCUCCGUGCCUGCACAGUUGAAAAAUACACAGGGGACUGAAGCUACACAGCACUAGGUUCUUUGAAAUACAUCAGAUUACAUGCAGUUUAACAUUUUUAAUGGGCAAAAGUUUUAGCAGAACUUAUGUAAAUAUCACAUCUUCACUACAGUGAAGAUAUAAAUACAGGAAGGUUAAGCAACUAUUUCUUCUUACACAGUUGUAGUCUAAUUUCAUAUAACUGUUUUUUGGUGUUCUUAGCAAGAAAAAUUUGUAUCAUUUGCUCAAAGGAUAUCUGAAAUGAUUAUAAGUUUCAGAGCCAUUCAAAAUAAGGAAACUCAUAACUUUCUUAAUAGUAGAGAGCAUGCACUGUGGAUCAGUGAUUAAUUUUAAAGUGUUUUUGAACUCAUAGAGGCUUUAGUUAACACAGAGGCUUAUGUAGAGGUCUAUUAAGGUUAUUUUUCACUCUAUAUGUAUCCCCACAACUGCUAAGUAGUAAAUGGAAGCUAAAGCAGAUUAGUGUCAAAUGAAAUAUUACUAUGUGAAAAUAAUGCUUUUCAGGAAAACUUCAGCUUUAGCACAAGACAGAAGUUUUUUCUGAACAAUUCAGUGUUUGUACAGUAUUAAGGCUAUCACAGAAGAAACUGCUUACUUGUACUAUUUUGUAUAAGAUUGGCAAUUAAAUAGCAUAUUCUGGGGGAAAAACAUUACAUAUUUGAAAUUUAUAGCAAUAUCUAAUUAUUUUCAUGUUGAAACACACAAAGUUGAGUUACGUAAGUGUUUCUCUAUGGAGAAAAGUUGUGUAUAAGAAUUAAUUAUUAUUUGCAGUUCUAUUUGGGAUAGUAGUCUUGCCAGAAAAGUAGCCGAUCUUGUAACAGGGAUUUGGUAGAGGGAAAUUUCGCUUAGAAAAAAAGUAGGUAACGAUUCUUUAUCUGGACAUUCCUGUAUGCUCUUGGAAUAAAAAAGAAAGAUACUUUUAUGUAUCAAAGAAUUUCAUGUGAAGGAGGAAAUCAUCUCUUUAAGUAAGACAGUAAGAUCUGAAGAUUCAUAUAGACUGACUUGCAGGAUCACUACCAGAUGUAGCAGCAGAAAACUGAUACUUUCGUACCAUGCGAUGAUGCAGCAGCAAGAAUGCAAAGGAACUUACAACUAAAGCUAAUACAUUUGUUCUAAAACCAGUUAAUAUGGUACUGUAUGGAUUACUAAAAAAGCACAAUUUUAGUGUGACUACUUAAGCAUCCUAAGGAAUAAAAUGGGCGAACUUUUACCAUGAUUUCAAAUGAAACAAAACAUUUUUUUCCUUUGAAACUAUUCUAAUUUUUUACAAGCAUACUAAUACUUACCUAUAAAUACAUAAUUAAAGUUACAUCUUUCUCUUUGCUUUUACAUGUUAUAGCAAUUGACAAGUAUUUCAGUUGAUGUCUUUUACCAAAGAUGGUGAAUAACAUUUUUCCAAGAGGUUAAAUUCAUGAAAGAAGAAUUUGUGCAGUUUUAUCAGAUUUCAGUGUAACUCAAUAAUAAAUUAAAUCACUACUGAAUAGCUUUUGUAAGGUAUUUUCAGAUUUUUACACAAAAACUUUUUAUCAAUUUAAUACAGUUAAAACAUUUUUAACAGCCACAGUUAAUAAUUAUUAUCUGGUGCAUAUAUCUUAAAAGACAUUUUUGUCCCUAUAGGAGAUCCAUUUUACAGAAAACAAGUAGAUAAGAGUAAUUAAGCAAUUAAAACUAAGAUGAGUACUGUACACUGUUAUACACCGUAAGUCCUCCUGUCUGAAAUAAUUAGGAGAAAAUGGCAUUUCACAAGUGAUAGAAAGAGAUCAAAUAUCAUGACUAAAUUUAACUUAAAUAUGUGUGUAUUUCAAUUUUAUAGAUGGCUAUGUUCUAAGAAGCAAUUUACUUGAGAAUGAUGGAGAAAUUUAUGAUGACAUUGGCGAAGAUUGCAUCUAUGAUAAUGACUAACGCAGAAUUCUGUGAGAGUAAGAGCUUCAUUGAAGACCAAAAUCU